GGACAGUCUCCGUUUUUAACAUUUUGAUGGUAGCUUUUAUUUUGACAAUCACAUAGCGGAAAUGGUGAUUAUCUUUCUUCCUGCUUGAUGUGGGUUUGGGGAAAACUAAGCAACCACCGGAGAAUUGACCCGGAGCGCUCUUGUCUUCAGUCUUCCAGCAGAAUAAUGCCUGCUGUCCCGGUAUUUGGCUCUUCCAGGUGACCGAGGUGUGAGCAGCAGCCGCCGGGAUGGCGCUGGUCACCGUCCAACGGUCACCGACUCCAAGCACCUCCUCCAGCCCCUGCGUGUCUGAGUCUGGCAGUGGUGAGGAUGACCGUCGCUCACAGCCAAGGAGACGCACACCAACAGCUGCACCACAACAAUGGAAGUACAGCCUUGCAGCACUACAACACUGAAUCUCUGCUCUGCCACAUUGUGCUGACUCGGGACUGGCUUUGACCCUCAAGAACAUAAGAGUUUUUUUUUAUUGUUUUUGUUUUUAUUUUAAUGAUGAGAAACUACAAAACUAGCAAUUAGACCUUUUCUCUAAACUUGAGUAAUUGUAUAAAUAUUACGAAUAAAUAGGCCUAGUGCCUCA
rnacentral:lncRNA from 1 species